rnacentral:tRNA from 2 species
GCGCGCUUGGCGGAAUGGUAGACGCACGAGACUUAAAAUCUCGAGUUCGGUUAGAACGUGCGGGUUCAAGUCCCGCAGCGCGCACCA